rnacentral:tRNA from 1 species
GGGGAUGUAGCUCAGUGGCAGAGCACUUGCCUAGCAUGCAUGAGUUCAAUCCCA